rnacentral:tRNA from 1 species
AUAAAUAUCAACGACUAAUAUCGGAUUGAAAAUCCGCGUGUCGCUGGUUCGAUUCCGGCUCUGGGCACCA